UAGGGAAUCUUCGGCAAUGGGGGCAACCCUGACCGAGCAACGCCGCGUGAGUGAAGAAGGUUUUCGGAUCGUAAAGCUCUGUUGUAAGAGAAGAACGUGUGUGAGAGUGGAAAGUUCACACAGUGACGGUAACUUACCAGAAAGGGACGGCUAACUACGUGCCAGCAGCCGCGGUAAUACGUAGGUCCCGAGCGUUGUCCGGAUUUAUUGGGCGUAAAGCGAGCGCAGGCGGUUUAAUAAGUCUGAAGUGAAAGGCAGUGGCUUAACCAUUGGUCGCUUUGGAAACUGUUAAACUUGAGUGCAGAAGGAGAGAGUGGAAUUCCAUGUGUAGCGGUGAAAAGCGUAGAUAUAUGGAGGAACACCGGUGGCGAAAGCGGCUCUCUGGUCUGUAACUGACGCUGAGGCUCGAAAGCGUGGGGAGCAAACAGG
rnacentral:rRNA from 1 species